rnacentral:rRNA from 1 species
UGGGGAAUAUUGGACAAUGGGGGGAAACCCUGAUCCAGCAAUGCCGCGUGAGUGAAGAAGGCCUUAGGGUUGUAAAGCUCUUUCGCCCGCGAAGAUAAUGACGGUAGCGGGAGAAGAAGCCCCGGCUAACUCCGUGCCAGCAGCCGCGGUAAUACGGAGGGGGCUAGCGUUGUUCGGAAUUACUGGGCGUAAAGAGUGCGUAGGCGGUUUUCUAAGUUCGGUGUGAAAUCUCCCGGCUUAACUGGGAGGGUGCGCCGAAGACUGGGAAGCUGGAGUGUGGGAAAGGCAGGCGGAAUUCCUGGUGUAGCGGUGAAAUGCGUAGAUAUCAGGAGGAACACCGGCGGUGUAGACGGCUUGCUAGACCAUAACUGACGCUGAGGCACGAAAGCGUGGGUAGCAAACA